ACUCACUCACUCACUCACUCACACAGCAAUCAAUCAAUGCGUCUGUCUGUCUGUUUGGUCGGUUUGACAGAUGCAUGGCAGAAUCAAGAGAGGAAUGUGG
rnacentral:ribozyme from 1 species